GUGAAGUCAACGGGUCAGGAGUUGGUCGAGAAUACUCACUGGGAGCCAGAAGUCACUAGUGCAAAAGUAAGAAUUUACGUCUGUAUUUUCUCGUCGGACCUAAACAUAUCCAACGUAGAAAAGACGCGGUGACAUUUUUGAAAAUAAUGCAAACUAUUUUAUGUCGGACUACAUAGGUCCGACGUAAAUUUAACAAUCUACGUCAGACAUCAGCUACAUCUGACUUAGAUUAUUGAAUUUAUGUCAGACCCUAUGUAGUCUGACGUAAAAGAGUUUUUUAUAUCCACUAGCCACGAAGCUGACGCUUGGGAGCACUCCAAUUUCCCCAUCAUCUGCGAAUCCUGCCUCGACGACAACCCCUAUGUUCGAAUGACAAGAGCAGAGUAUGACAAGGAGUGCAAAAUUUGUACAAGGCCUUUCACUGUUUUUAGAUGGAGACCUGGUCGAGAUGCAAGAUAUAA